GGAAAUGUUUGGAUAUUUUUAUCCGACAACUUUAAAUUUGUUAGAUAUUUACGCACAAUACAUAAAUUCUUUUAAAUUAUAUUUUUAUAUAUGUGUACUUGUAAUAUGAUUCAUUUCUUUCUAGAUGUGGUUUUGUUUUAAUGCUCACUAUUUAAAAAUGAACUUCUUCUACAAAAAAAAAAAGAGAAAAAAAUUGUUAUAAAAUGUUGUCAACCACUUUAAAAACUACUCUCUAUGUUUC
rnacentral:lncRNA from 1 species